rnacentral:rRNA from 1 species
UACCAGCACCCCGAGUGGUCGGGACGAUUAUUGGGCCUAAAGCAUCCGUAGCCGGUUCUACAAGUCUUCCGUUAAAUCCACCUGCUUAACAGAUGGGCUGCGGAGGAUACUAUAGAGCUAGGAGGCGGGAGAGGCAAGCGGUACUUAGUGGGUAGGGGUAAAAUCCGUUGAUCCAUUGAAGACCACCAGUGGCGAAGGCGGCUUGCCCAGAAUGCGCUCGACGGUGAGGGAUGAAAGCUGGGGGGAGCAAAGCCGG